GGGGAGCCUUCGUGCAAUUGUAUAAAAAAG
rnacentral:piRNA from 1 species